AGAGUACAAAUAAAAUGUUCAUUUAUAAUUUAUAACGCUGCAGUCAAACUAAAAAAGUUAUCCCGGAUUUAUAGGAAAGACCGUAGAAAUUCUUCAUGUAAUGGUGACUAGAAAAAUAUGUUUUGCUAGUAACUUUUCGGUGCUUCAGGUGUACCAGCAAUUUCCGCAUGCGCUUCAUUCCAAAAAAAAACCAUCAGCCAUAUUGGUGUGUUGUAUCGCUGUCCUCAGUAAUUUCGAAGAUCGGUUGCGCAAUAUGUCUGGAGACAAUUGCAAUAAUAGUGGAGGUGGUGGAGGCAGUACAAGUCUAACUACUGCGCGUUACCAAUUAGCUGAACAUAGAUAUGGACGAGAAGAAAUGUUGAUCCUAUUUGACCGUAAUUGUAAACCUCCUGAACCAUUAACAAGUUUUUCGUCUUUGUAUGUUGAGAAAACUCAACUUCCUUUGGCUCUUAUACAAAUGACAGAAGAUGAAACGCGAAUGUGGAAUGGAGGAAUAACUAAUAUUGGUAGUCGAGGAAGAGGCGGAAGCGUAGAUCGCGGGGUUCGUGGAAGAAAUGGUAGAGGUAAUUUGUAUUCCUCGCAUUAUUCCCGAGGCGUUGGUUUUGAUGAGUCAGGAGAUGGACCACGAAUUGACAGUCAACCAUUUCAAGCAAGAAACCGCCCAUUUGAUAGGUCCCAAAGCGAACGUGGAUGGUCAGAACGAAAUGGGGCAACAGAUCCAGGUGAAUGGAAUGGUUCUACUAGUCCUAGAAAGGAAUUAAAUCGUGGGGCUAGUGGGAGUUCCCUUAUGGAAGGUAAUUGGCGACGUCAUCGUGGUGGAGCAGAAGAUGAUGAUGGUUGGCGUAAAUGGGGUAGAAGCAGUUGGCGCGAAGGUGGAAGCAUGGAUAGAGAUAGAUUAGAUAGAAAUGAAGACGGAGAGGAAACUCGAAAUAGUGGUGGGAGAUGGGAACAUCGUGGAACCCAUAGAACUACACACGAUUCGAGUCAUCAUCCACCUCCUCGUACUGCACGUAUUUGGGAAUCGAAUCACCACGAUAAUAAUCAUGACAACCUUCCUGAAUGGGCCACUGAAAACCCCAGCGAAAGUGGUGGAAGUUUUGAUGCUUCGGGUGCAUUUCAUGGUGGAAUGUAUUCAGAUGAUGAUGAGGAUGGAGUGAUUAGUGCAGGUGGUACUCAAGAAACAAGGACUCGACGUGUUUCCGAAGGAAGUGCUACUAAUACGACAAGAUCUGGUAGCAAACCCUUAGCAUAUAGCUCGACUCAAGCACAAACAGCGAAUCGUAAUGCUAAUAAUGAAACUAGUACGAUCAAUAAAGAAAGAUCAAAAUCCUUGCAUCCCCUUGAUAAUAAGGACGAAUCCGUCGAAAAAAAGAGAAGCAAUUCUCCAGUAAAACCAUCUAACGUAACAACUGUUAAUACACCUAUCAAAACUUCAUCGUCAACGUCAUCGGACACACCACAGAAUAAAAGUACUGUAGCAACCAGUACGGAACAAACCGAAGUAAAGAAAAUACCGCCAGCCAAUUCAGAAAAUAAUAAAUCUCCUGAUAAAACACAAAACAAAGGAGAUGAAGUGGAAACAAAAGUGGAUCCAAUUAUUACUAUAAAAAAGCAAGUAUCAUUACAAACAGAACCUCAGAAACCUACACAUAGUUUAGAAAUGGAUAAUACAAGAAAGAAAACGGAAGAUGAUUUUGAUAGAAUGAAGGAAGAGGCGGAUGCAUUAGUAGCUAAGUUGAUGGCAGAUGAAGAAAAUCAUAGGGAAAAAACUACCAGUGUACCACCUUCUAUUGGUAAUCAACCUUCCACAGUUUCAUCUACCAAUGGACAGGAGAAAUGGUUUUACCGUGAUCCGCAGGGUGAAGUUCAAGGCCCAUUCUUAGCGAGUGAAAUGGCAGAAUGGUGUAAAGCUGGUUACUUCACUGCUGGGUUAAUGGUAAGAAGAACCUGUGAUGAGCGAUACACUACUUUAGGAGAUUUAAUGAAAAUGUGUGGUAGAAUACCAUUUACACCUGGGCCUCCUAUCCCUCCAUUAAAGUUAACAGAUCAGGUAAUACCUCCUGUUCCUAAUACAGUACCAGCUGGUAUCCCUGUGUUACCAAAAACUGGUAUAGACGAUCCACUUCUUUUACUUCAGUAUCAGCAAAUGCGGUUGUUACAAAAUCAGCAGUUACUUCUUAGACAAAUGCGAACAUCGGCUAUAGCAAAACUUUCUCAAUCUGAGCAUUGGGCAACAUUAACUCCUAUGGAACAAAAUCAGUUGAUUUUCCAAUAUGUUUUACAAGACUCGGAAAUUUCAGAGGUGCCAAUCUCUACAAACCCGUUUGUGCCUCAUCUUCCGUCGCAGGCUUCAAAUCCUGUUAUGCAACUUUUCACUCAAAUGCAACAGGCUAAAGCACAACCAGAGACUCAUUUACCGACAACGCCACAUUCAACUACACCCGCACAUCCUCCUGCAAUGGAUCCUAUACAACAAUUGAUACAACAAAUGGGUGGUAUGCAAAAUAUUCCAGGAAUUCAACAAUCGAAUAUAAAUUCUACACCGGCCGCAACGCAAGAAGACAAUCCUAUAAAAUCUUUAUUACGCCAACUCAACGUUAAUACGAAUGGUCAUCCGCAAACUUCUCAUAUUGAUACUGUUUGGCCACAGCCUCCACCACAAAUAAAUCCACAGUUUAAUGCACAAAAUUGGUUGGCGCAGGUUGGACCAAUACCGGCUGUUCCUCCUGGCCAAUUGCCUACGUCAUUGUGGGAUCUACAUACUAAGGAAAUAAAGACUGAGCAGCAAAUAUUGGAAGAACAAAAUCUUAGAUUACAAGAAGAUAGGAAGAAAGAGGAACUAAGAAAACAAGAAGAAUUACAGAGACAAGCUGAGGAAGAGAAUGCAAAAAGAAAAAAGGAAGAACAAGUAAAACAGGCAGAGGAAGCAAAGCGAAAAGAUGAGGAAAGGAAAAAGAAAGAAGAAGAGAAGAAGCGGAAGGAUGAAGAGAAGCGUAAGCAGGAAGAAGAACGGAAAAAGAAGGAGGAAAAGAAACGUAAGGAAGAAGAGAAGAAGAGAGAGGAAAAGAGAAAGCAGGAAGAAGAAAUCAUAAGGAAAAAACAGGAAGAGGAAAAAAGAAGGAAGGAAGAGCUUAAAAAACAGGAAGAAAAGCAGAAAAGAGAAGAAGAGAGAAGAAAAAAAUUAGAAGAAGAACAAAGAAAGCAAGAGGAAGAAAGAAUGCGAAAAGAAGCAGAAGCGCGUAAACAAGCUGAAGCCGAAGAACAAGCUCGACGAGCGGAACAAAGACGACGAGAAGCAGAAGCUCUUCGUAAACUACAAGAAAGAAGUAAAGCACCAUGGGCGCAAGCACCUCGCGCACCAGCUGCUACUACUGCUCCUGCUGCCUCUCUUGCUGAAAUUCAGAGACUCGAACGAGAAAAGAAAGCAGAAGAACAAAGAUUCCAACAAAUGAUGCAGCAACAAUUGGCUCAGCAAAAAGCCACAGAAGCAGCUCAGGAAGCAUUGGCAACUGAUUCGUCUAAACGAUUGCAAUUUAAGUGGGCUGAAAAGGCUACAGCUUCCACAAAACCUUUGCAAGUAAAGAGUCUCGCACAAAUCCAACAAGAAGAGCAGGAACGCAUCGCCAAGGUAAAGAUGAAAUCAUGGAGUGGUAGUAUAGAAAUUGGGGUAACAGAGUGUGAUCCAGAAAUAAUAGAAUUGCCAGCUCGUGCUACUAAUUUAUGUCAGGGAACAUGGAUUAUGACCAAUUCUGGUAUAGUACACGAUGGAGCAAGGACAGUAGAAACAUAUGGAAUGAACCUAAAUGCACUGGAAGAAGGAAGCACUUUAGGAGUAAUGAGGACAUCUAAUCAUGAGUUGAUAUUUUAUAUCAAUGGUAUUUCUCAAGAUGUAGCUGUAUCAAAUAUACCAGAACGCAUUUUUGCAGUUGUAGACAUGUAUGGUGAUUGCGUUCAAGUGACUAUAACUUAUCCACAAAUUGCUGCUGCUUUAUGUAGUGAGCCAAAAGAUGAAGUUGAAAUUAAUAAUGAUUAUGCUCUUGGAGAAGCAUCUAAUUCUUCAACAACUAAUCUAGUCGCUAAUUUAAAUGUUAAUUUAAAUGUUAAUGUUAAUGUUAAUUUACCUAAAAAUACAAACCCUGCUGCUAUUAGAGAGGAUAGACUGAGAUUUCAUGAGAGAGUUGGCUCUCUAGUGAAGUUGUCAAAUAAUGCCAGAACUGCGGAAAGGAGAAGACCCUUAGAUGAAUUUAAUAAUGGUGUAGUGAUGACUCAUAGACCAUUAAGGGAUAACGAAUUGUUUGAGGUUCGAAUAGACAGACUUUUGCAUAAGUGGUCAGGCAGUAUAGAAGUUGGAGUUACUAUGCAUAGCCCAACAGCAUUAGAAUUUCCAGCAACCAUGACUAACAUGCGAUCAGGCACAACAAUGAUGUCUGGAUGUGGAAUUUUGGUAAAUGGGAAGGGCACAUGUCGUGAAUACGGAGAAUUCAAUCUAGAUGAAUUAAGAGAAGGUGAUAGGGUAGGUAUGAUAAGGCGAAGCAAUGGAAAUCUUCAUUAUUUAAUAAAUGGAUUGGACCAAGGUGUUGCUGCUAAAGUACCUGCAGGUGUAUGGGGUGUUAUAGAUUUGUAUGGUAUGACAGUAAAAGUGACGAUUGUUGAUCGAGAUGAAAGGGAAGAACAAAAUUUGGUUACUAGGAGAAACACAUUGCAAUUACAAGGGUUAAAUGAAACAGAAGAAGAACCACCUGACAGGCUCAUGUUCCAUUCCUGCUGUGGUACACAUGUUGAAGUGAUUAACAAUGGUCGUACUGCGCAUAGGCCUAACGUGAUGGAUGAUUUCAACAAUGGUGUUGUGUUGACUUCAAGGCCGUUGAAGCCGAAUGAAUUGUUUGAAGUAAGAUUAGACAAAAUUGUAACAAAAUGGGCGGGAUCUAUCGAGAUAGGUGUUACCACUCAUUCCCCAACUGAAUUGGAGUUUCCUUUUACCAUGACGAACGUUAGAUCCGGCACAUGGAUGAUGACAGAAAAUGGAGUGAUGCAUAAUGGCACUACUAUAAUAGAUCAAUAUGGUCAAAACCUUGAUCGAUUACAAGUCGGGGAUCGUGUAGGAGUAAUGAGAAAAGAUAAUGCAACAUUACACUUUUAUGUGAAUGGUGCUGAUCAAGGAGCUGCAGCAAUGAACGUACCCGAAAGAGUUUAUGGCGUUAUAGAUCUUUACGGACAAGCUGCGCAAGCAACUAUAGUUGAUAAUACCGAUUUCUAUAGCCCUACUACAAACAAUUCAAGUUUUAGCAAUACAACUCUGUAUAGUGACCUGAGGUUUCAUCAUAUACACGGCAAAAAUGCAAAAAUAAUAAACAAUGGUUUGACCGCACUGAGGCCUAGAGCUUUGGGGGAAUUCAAUGAGGCUAUUGUAAUUGCGAAUCGUCCAUUACGAGAUGGUGAAAUGUUCGAAGUAACCAUUGAUAAAAUGGUUGUUAGAUGGACUGGAGCGAUCGAAGCUGGCGUGACUCUUAUAAGGCCCGAUGAAUUAGAAUUCCCUUCGACAAUGACGGACAUUGAUCACGACACUUGGAUGUUAUCUGGAUCUAACGUUAUGAGAGAUGGUGUUACUUUAACAAAUAAUUAUGCCUGUGAUUUAGACAAACUAGUAGAAGGUAAUCGCAUUGGUAUGAUGCGAUGUUCGGACAGCAGCUUACAUUAUUAUCUAGAUGGAGUAGAUCAAGGACCUGCUUGUACUGGUCUACCACCACACGUUUAUCCUGUCAUCGAUUUAUAUGGUCAAUGUGUUCAGGUCACAAUUGUAUUACCAGAACGUAGGGAUCCAAUGACACAACAGUAUUUACCAUCAGAAAAUAGCACUAGUCAACAGCCUACAUCUGUAAUUCAGCUUCAAGCUCAAACAGAAAUAAUGCAUAAGUUUCAUGAGUCUGUCGGUUUAAAUAUUCAAUUAAAUAGUGAUAGAACGGUAGCAACUAGGUGUAGAGAGUACAGUAAUGCCGUGUUGUUGAGCGAAACACCAUUAGAAAAUAAUGAAAGUUUCGAAAUUACUAUACAAGAAGUUGCUCGAGAGUGGAGCGGUUGUUUAAAGAUAGGUGUUAUAAGUAAUGAAAGCGGAAAUUGGUUAACGUCUAUGAAUCUUGUACCUGGUAUUGGAUCCAUUCCACAAGACGCUUGGUACUUAACAGGUAACGAAGUAAGACACAAUGGGUAUGUUUUAUGUAUGAAUUAUUGCCCCAGCUUAGAAUGGUUACGAGUGGGUGAUAAGAUUGGAAUGAAACGUACACAUGAAGGCAACUUAAAGUUUUACAUAAACGGAGAAGAUAUGGGUAUAGCUGCUUCAAAUAUACCAGAAAUGGUAUACGGUGUGAUUGAGCUUUUCGGUAGUACAGUGGCUGUAAAUAUAACAAGUAGCAAACAACAGAAUACUGCUGUAUCUCCGAAUGCUAGUUUGAGAUUGCAAGACUCUUUGGAAUUGUUAUUAGAUCCUAUGCCACCUGUUUUGCGAAAUGAUGCUGGAAUGGAUACAUCAGCAGAUGUAUCCGAAGGAAAAUUGGUGAAUGAUGUAACCCUUACACCGACGCAGUCUACUCCUCAUUUAGUAGGGGAAAGUGAUUGGAGUUAUGAGUUUCACGAAAAUCAUGGUAGAAAUAUACAGUUAGAAACAAAAACUAUUGCACGAAGAGUUGCGAGUUAUAAUCAAGGGGUGGUAAUGUCUAGUCGUCCGUUAAUAAAAGGCAAGCCAUUUUUAGUGAAAAUAGAAAAACUAAACGAACGAUGGGUUUCUAAUAUACUUUGCGGGGUAACUUGCAUUUCACCGGAAAAGGCUAACUUUCCUUUGACGGCUCUUGGUUUUAAAAAACACUCUUGGAUUAUAUGUAGCGAUUGGAUAUCACAUAAUGGCAUUAGAGUCAAAACAAAAUAUGGAGCUGCAUUGGAAAAUCUUCAAUCUAAUUCCGUAGUAGGUUUGUUCAUUGAUGAAGAUAAUAGGUUGCGCUUAAUUAUCAACAGUGUUGAUCAAGGAGUAGCUGCAACAGACUUGCCUCCUUAUGUUUAUGCUGUGUUUGAUCUGUAUGGACAGUGUGAACAAAUUUCAAUUAUUGGAAAUAACGCAGAGGCAUUUUCGUCCAGUUCUAUCGAUAAUACCGUAACGUCUGUGGAAUGUAUAAGAACGAAAUUAGAGGAUACAGAAAAUUCAAGAGAGAAAGCUGAUUUAGAAUGUCAUGAAAAGGAAAAUAUUGUUGUAGCAACUUCUUCAGAUUUAUCUUCUUCUACCUCACCAAGUGUACCGAGCCAAUGCGGUUCAAACGUUAAGAAUGAUGAUAUUGUGGAGUAUCCAGCUUGCAACAACGACAACGCGCACUUAAUGAAUAAUAUUGAAAACAAAACAAUGCCAAAUAACUCUGAUAGUAAUAAUUUGGAAUCGAGUUCGAGCGUAAGCCAUGACACAACGCGAAGCAUCAAAAACAAGAAUUACGACAUUUCUAACCAAUUAAACAAUAGCACGAUAUCAAAUAGUCAAUCAGAAAAUUCGAACAAUAGAAACGAGUGUACAAAUGUAGAAAUAAAUAACGCAACUAAUAUUAAUAUUAAAAAUGGCACUGCGAAUAGCACCAACAAUAUAACUAAUUCGAAUACUAAUGCUAAUAAUGUGAUAAACGAAAGCAUAGCGUCCAAUAGUCAAGGGAAUAAUUUAAACGCUACACAUCAAAACAAUACAUCUAUUAAUAUGUUAAGCUCGUCUCAAAAUACGCUGAGUAAUACGACGUCUGAUAUAUCAAACACUGUUUCUUCUAAUUUCAAUGAAAUGCGUUCAAAUAUGCCCCGGAGUAAUACUGUAUCUGUGAAUAAUUCUAUUGGAGGGAACACAACAAUUUCAGGACAGAAUACAGCCUCUAUUCACAAUGCACCUUCGUUACAAUUGCUGCAAAUUACGUCGUUACCGUCCACUCCUCUCGUAACGAAUACUGUACCUUCAAAAAAGUGCGAAUAUCUGAAGGCAUGCAUGAGGUUAAAAAAGUCACUAGUUUUACCGGACGAAUUCUUUUCUCUAGAGGACGUACUCUGUUAUUGUAGUGCUUGCUAUAAAGUAGAAGGGGAUAGUGCAAUCUGCAAGAAAGGUGAACCACCGGCAGAGUUUGCUGUGCCAAUAGGUUGGACUAGAUUUCCAUUAAAGCAAAACAUUAAUGCCAAUCAAAUUCCACAAAGUACAACGGAUAAGUGGCACGUUGCUUUCUAUGGUAUACGUCUUGAUGCAAUCAGGCUAAUUUUGGAUACAGGAGAACUUAUGACAAAGGAACAAUUAGAUGUGAGUAAUUUGACUAUGAAUAUAAAGGCAGAGGAUCAGAAUCCCCAAGUGACUUUUUCUCCCAGUAUAAAGUAUGCAGCAUCGGAAGAAUUUACUAGGAAAUAUCCAUAUAUCGACACCCAAUCAAAUAAAAAAUUAAAUGCAUCUACCGCGUUUCAACUGUUAGUAAGGCCUGGCUCAUAUACUAUUAGUUCUGGUGGUAAAGACGGUAACGAUCCGCAAUUUGAAUCCAGCAAAUGGUCUACCAAAGAAGCAGGGGCCACUGUGAUAGUGGCUCUCUUAAUUCACCUCGAUGGAUUUUAAUUUGUUCGACACGAAAGUGUGAGGACGUUCUCCUUUGCGGCUCACUAUGAGAGACACAUCUUCAUUUAAGGAUAAACGAAUGUAUUUCAGUAUAAAUGAUAGCGAUUAUCUUGUAAAAGUCUGUUGAAGUUCUCGUUCUUUUGGACUUAAUUUAGCAUGCAGUGUUAAAACAAGAUACGUGAUAGGUAUAAUUCAUUGACUAUGGAUCGAACCAAUUUGUAAUAAUCAGUUCAUUAAAGUAUACAGUAGCGUGUAUAUCGAAUACAUAAUAUAUAUGUAUUAUGUUAUACAUUUAAUGUAGCUACUGGCCUAGGUUUACAGUGACGAGGAUUGUGUUGAACAAAUAUGCACCGAAGAUUCGUUGAUACAUUAACGAUGCACUUUAAUCCUCGAGCUUUACUCUUAACAAAUACCAAAUCUUUAAGUAUUAGUAACGCAGAUAAAAAUCUCUUUUUUUUGAAGCACCACUCAGCAAUAUCGAUAAAGAGACAUGUUAUCUGUAUAAUGUAGAAAUAAAAUGAUACUACUGUAAAUCGCAAUACAAUGCUAUCGUAUAGAACUCAAGACACAAAUACCCACAAAAUUAAAUACAUUCGGGAAGUGUAAUAACCAUAUUUUGGCAUACGCUAUUUAAGGUUUUAAAUUUUCUUUGUGAAUAUCAUGUGCACCAUUUAUAAAUGCAAAGAUCUCGCAAAUAAUAUAACUGGAAUGAAAAUGA
rnacentral:misc_RNA from 1 species